rnacentral:rRNA from 1 species
CAGGGAAUCUUCGGCAAUGGACGAAAGUCUGACCGAGCAACGCCGCGUGAGUGAAGAAGGUUUUCGGUUCGUAAAACUCUGUUGUUAGAGAAGAACAAGGACGUUAGUAACUGAACGUCCCCUGCCGGUAUCUAACCAGAAAGCCACGGCUAACUACGCGCCAGCAGCCGCGGUAAUACGUAGGUGGCAAGCGUUGUCCGGAUUUAUUGGGCGUAAAGCGAGCGGAGGCGGUUUCUUAAGUCUGAUGUGAAAGCCCCCGGCUCAACCGGGGAGGGGCAGUGGAAACUGGGAGAGUGGAGGGCAGAAGAGGAGAGUGGAAUUCCAGGUGGAGCGGUGAAAUGAGUUAAUAUAAGGAGGAACACCAGUGGCGAAGGCGGGUCUCUGGGCGGUAACUGACGCUGGGGGACGGAAGGGUGGGGAGCAAACAGG